rnacentral:rRNA from 1 species
GAUGAACGCUGGCGGCGUGCCUAAUACAUGCAAGUCGAGCGAACAGACGAGGAGCUUGCUCCUCUGACGUUAGCGGCGGACGGGUGAGUAACACGUGGAUAACCUACCUAUAAGACUGGGAUAACUUCGGGAAACCGGAGCUAAUACCGGAUAAUAUAUUGAACCGCAUGGUUCAAUAGUGAAAGACGGUUUUGCUGUCACUUCUCGAUGUAUCCGCGCCGCAUUAGCCAGUUGGUAAGGUAACGGCUUACCAAGGCAACGAUGCGUAGCCGACCUGAGAGGGUGAACGGCCACACUGGAACUGAACCACGGUCCAGACUCCUACGGGAGGCAACAGUAGGGAAUCUUCCGCAAUGGGCGGAAGCCUGACGGAGAAACGCCGCGUGAGUGAUGAAAGUCUUCGGAUCGUAAAACUCUGUUAUUAGGGAAGAACAAAUGUGUAAGUAACUAUGCACGUCUUGACGGUACCUAAUCAGAAAGCCACGGCUAACUACGUG